UGAGGAAUAUUGGACAAUGGGCGGAAGCCUGAUCCAGCCAUGCCGCGUGAAGGAUUACGGUCCUAUGGAUUUUAAACUUCUUUUGCACGGGAGCAAUAAGGGUCACGCGUGGCCCGAUGAGAGUACCGUGCGAAUAAGCAUCGGCUAACUCCGUGCCAGCAGCCGCGGUAAUACGGAGGAUGCGAGCGUUAUCCGGAUUCAUUGGGUUUAAAGGGUGCGUAGGCGGUGGCGUAAGUCAGCGGUGAAAUUCACGGGCUCAACCCGUGCCGUGCCGUUGAUACUGCGUUGCUGGAGUACUGUCGCCGUGGGAGGAAUGUGUGGUGUAGCGGUGAAAUGCAUAGAUAUCACACAGAACACCGAUUGCGAAGGCAUCUCACGAGGCAGGGACUGACGCUGAUGCACGAAAGUGCGGGGAUCAAACAGG
rnacentral:rRNA from 1 species